UACGGUAGGGUGCGAGCGUUGUCCGGAAUUACUGGGCGUAAAGAGCUCGUAGGUGGUUUGUCGCGUUGUUCGUGAAAACUCACAGCUUAACUGUGGGCGUGCGGGCGAUACGGGCAGACUGGAGUACUGCAGGGGAGACUGGAAUUCCUGGUGUAGCGGUGGAAUGCGCAGAUAUCAGGAGGAACACCGGUGGCGAAGGCGGGUCUCUGGGCAGUAACUGACGCUGGAGGAGCGAAAGCGUGGGGAGCGAACAGG
rnacentral:rRNA from 1 species